rnacentral:rRNA from 1 species
CCAGACUCCUACGGGAGGCAGCAGUGGGGAAUAUUGGGCAAUGGGCGCAAGCCUGACCCAGCAACGCCGCGUGAAGGAAGAAGGCUUUCGGGUUGUAAACUUCUUUUGUCAGGGACGAAGCAAGUGACGGUACCUGACGAAUAAGCCACGGCUAACUACGUGCCAGCAGCCGCGGUAAUACGUAGGUGGCAAGCGUUAUCCGGAUUUAUUGGGUUUAAAGGGUGCGCAGGCGGAAUGUCAAGUCAGCGGUAAAAUUGCGGGGCUCAACCCCGUCGUGCCGUUGAAACUGGCGUUCUUGAGUGAGCGAGAAGUAUGCGGAAUGCGUGGUGUAGCGGUGAAAUGCAUAGAUAUCACGCAGAACUCCGAGUGCGAAGGCAGCAUACCGGCGCUCAACUGACGCUCAUGCACGAAAGCGUGGGUAUCGAACAGGAUUAGAUACCCUUGUA